AGGUUCUGAGUUUAUGUCAGAAGUGUAGCUGGCCUUCUUCCAGUUGUUGGCUACAUUCUGAAAAGAUGCUGGAAAAAGAAAUGCAGGAUUCUUGCUCUAUGUCGGGUCCACCCUUUCUCUGGCUGUGGUGCCUCCAUUGUCCUAACACUCUUCAGCAACCUGUCAAGGUCUUUAUAUGGUGGCCACCAGGAGUAGCCAUCUGCAUACCAGGACUUGGCGGCUGGUCCAGUCGUCCCUUCUCCCUCAAACUCCACGAUUAGAAAUCAACUGUUGUUGAGAGGUCAUCCACUAAAUGAAUGCCAAGUGUAGAGGAUGGCAGUGGAUAGUCAAAAAAGGAUUCCUGGUGUUUGAAGGAUGCUGGUAGAGGACCAGUCGCAUGUGGUUUUUUGAGCAGAUGUGGCCUGGUUUUGUGAGUUUUUUUGCAGCAUCUUUGCAUUUCUGAGAAUCCUUUUAUUAUUUGACUCAGAGGGCAUGUUGGUUUCCUCAGAAGUCUUUUGAGUUUGUUUAAGUGAUUCUCGUACUUGAAAGCACUGAAGUUGUCAAGGACACCAUGCUUUUUCGCAUCUUCUGCAAGAUGUACAAGGCAGUGUGCAUUGUAGGACAAGAAUUGUGGACCAUACAGUUGACCAAAGUGAGUGACAAAGAGCACCAGUAUGUCAUUGGCAUAAUCACAGUAUUCUUCAAUCAAACUGUUGUUGCACAGGAUGAAGAUUCCCACAAAAAGUAGCAAGAAAUUUUUGUACACCUCUGUGUUAAGAAGAUCUUUCAUCAUGACAGGUCCGGUAUACAGUAAAAACUGCCUGAACUCUGUUGCCUUCCACCUAUCAAUUUCUCUCAGUGCCCUUGGUUUCCGUGCAAACUCCAUGGGCACAUUUCUCCGAGCAUUUAACAGUCUUUCUGACAAUGUGUUUAUUUGAAAUCCUGACAGCCUACAAGUCAGAGGACCCAUCUUCAGCCACAGGAGAAGAAGCCGUCUCAUGAUUCCGAGGCACACAAGGUGCAUGUAGUCGAGGGGGAAACCAGAGACCAUGUUUAGGGAUGUUUCUUCAAGAGGUACAAACCAUCCUGUGUGCAUUUUUCACAUCCGUGAUAGCCUGUGUGACCUUUAACAUUUUUCAGGAAUGCACGGGCAGGUGCAUCGCAGACCAUCGAAGAGAUGUCCCUAGGAUGGGCCAGAACUGUGUUGCGGAGCUCUUAUAGAGGGCCAACCAUCAAUGCUGACCUGAAGCUCCAACGUGUGAAUGUUGCGCAGAAUGUCAACAUUCUGAUGUAGCACCUCUGCAAUUGAAUUCAGCACUCCAAAAUGCUGUGGAAACCUGACCUGGUGAGGACCCUCUCCUCCAUCCUCAACCAUUGAACCUCUUAUCACACUCGGACGAGGACAAACCAGCCUGUGAUCUAGACUCCUAGAUCCAACCCUGGUCCACGAUCAUUCCCACACCUGUGUCUCAUCACAGUCCAUCACCUGUGUCUGCACCCUGCCUACUGCUAAUAUUAUGGAUUUCUGUUCUGGAGAGAUAUGCCAUUCACAACAAUCUCUACACAAUAUCAAACUCAAAUAAUUUAGUCCUGCCUAACAGUUUUCCUGAUUUGUUACUGUUCACAAUGUAGCACAGUCUCGUCUUUGUGCAUUCAGUUGUUAAAAUAUGUCCUUAUUAUUUGAUUGUAUCUCAAGUUUAUUAUUUAAAAGCAAAUUCACAAUCUUUCACGAGAAGAGAUAAUAGGUGUGUCUGACUUGAAGCAGUGCUGUGCAGACCGAUCGAAGUAUGACAUCACAGUACCACGAGAGCAAUAAGACUGUAAGACAGCUUCUUAUGCUUUUGAAUCACUCUCAUGAUACUUUGUCAUACUUUAAGCAGUGCUGCGCAGACCAAUUGAAGUUGAACACGUCUAAAGUGUAAACUCUCACUGUCAGCUAUGGGACUUCUGCAGUAAUAUGACGAGCAGGUGUUCAGUGUCAUCAUCUUACUUUAUUGAAAUGCUAUAUUGACCUGGAUUCAGGUUUAAAACUGUUUAACUGGGAAAGAACAAAUUAAGUGUCAUUAAUGUUGUGAGGCUGCAUAACAUCUGGUCAGAAGAAUGUUUGUGUAGUCUGUUUCCUCCUGAGGUUUCUAUCUUGUAUAGAUAAAUAUCUAAAAAUGAGUGUCUUUGUAACCAUUCUCAAUAGAUACUGAAAGCUUU
ensembl:lncRNA